rnacentral:rRNA from 1 species
AUGAGCCCAAUAUUAAGGAAAAUGAUAGUCACAGGUGUUUGUGGCCUCGUAAGCCUUGUACUGCGGCAGAAUUUGUAUCUUGAGCACCUCCGUGCUGACGAUUUAUAUAUCAAGCAGCGUGGUAAUGGUGAACCUACACUGAAAGUCUUGCUAUCCGGUGUCAGAAAAAAUUCGGGUACACCGAGAGUUGAAUCUAGCUGGCAUCCAACAAUCUGGACAUCCUUGUAUCAAGCUGUUGUUUUUGUGUUUGGAGUAUUGCCAAAUUCCAAGGUUUUUAUUUGUUGGGGAGUGCUUCGGUACAACCCCCGCCCCCUAAACCGUAUAAUGGAUAGGAUGGUCAUUCACAUUGGGUAUAGGAAUACCCCCGACGUCGUACGUCCGCGCGCGACGUCGUACGCCCGCCCGCGUAUGCCGCGCCCGUCGCCGUACGCCCGCCCGCGUAUGCCGCACGCAUCGCUGUACGUCGCCGCCGUACGCCCACGACGUCUCCACGUUGGCGUCGACAGUUAUGAAAAAAAAACGUCAAGGGAGCCGUCGACGCCCGCCGUCGUAAUCCUAAACCCCGAAUGCAUCCACGCCGUCUCCACGUUGCCCCCGUCUCGUAGUCACCGUCACCCUCCACGUCGCUCGGGUCGCCGCCCAAAGAAGCUGCCGCGCGUGCCCCGGCGCCGUUGCUGCUGCCGCCACGUUCCUUUGCCGUCGCCUAGAUGGCCGCCCACCCGUGUUCUUCGGCGCCGCCUUCCUCCCCGGAUUCCGCUUGCUACCACCGGGCACCAUCGUGACGCCGUCGACACUUGCCUCGUUCGGCCAGCAACGUCACGCCGUCAGCGUGUUCGUCAUCAGACAAAAUGGAUCCAGUUGACAUCCUCGCCGCCGUGCAAGAGGUUGGAACAUAUGAAGAAGGCACGUGAGCUUGAGGUCCUUGAGAGACAGAGAGGAUCAGACACUCACAGAUUCAUACUGGCAUGGAAGGAAAAUAGGGAUAUCAGAUUCACUAUGGACUACACCCCAGGUACAGGGGAGAGAGAUAGGUACAGCGAGUUGACUAUCUUAUCUGCCGAAGCAUCUCAUAAAGCAUGCCAUAAACCAUUUUUGUUUGACAAGUUGAAGGCGGCUCUGAGGGACAUAAUAGAUAAUGAUUACACCGAGGAUGAUGAGCCUGGUGUGGAGAAAAAGUUUGUGAACGACGCUGCAUUUGAGCCUAAUCAAGAUCAUGUUCUUGUUCGUGAUCCUGCAAAAAUUAACACCAAAGGCGCAUCAAAACAGAAUGUUAAAGGCCGCGCCCGACAGUGUGCCGGCCGGUCUGACAUUACACAGACCGCACCGACGGCACUGUCCCAUAGGGCAGCGUCGGAUGGCGGUAGCAAAGCGAGCAAACCAGAGGAGUACGACUGCCUCUGUGGCGACGGGUAUAUAAGCCGGCCGUUGCGCCCUCCGUCGUGCGAGGUGGGACUAAACAUAUGCGCUCAGGUUGCCGUCGCCCGCGGGGUACUUGGGCCGUCGUCUGUCAGGCUGGAAAGCCUUAUUGGGCCGGUCCACGCCGUCACGCGCGUCACUGCCGACGCGGCGGCGGCGGUGACAUGGGGGUGGUUGGUAGAGAAAAUUUUAUUCCAUACCGAUCUAACAUUGGCCUCCCUGGUGAGGUUUGCCGAGGUCGAUCUGAUAGAGACCUCGGGAACGCUUGCGUGGCCUAGCUAUUCUGGCCACCGCCAUGACUCAUCGGAAUCGAGCUCCAGUCUUGGUCCGGUGAAACAUAACUUUCAGCCCCCAACUGAUGUGAAACCAACGGUUGGGCAGUGA